rnacentral:rRNA from 1 species
AUUGAACGCUGGCGGCAUGCCUUACACAUGCAAGUCGAACGGUAGAGGGGGCAACCCCUUGAGAGUGGCGAACGGGUGAGUAAUGCAUCGGAACGUGCCCAGUCGUGGGGAUAACGCAGCGAAAGCUGUGCUAAUACCGCAUACGAUCUCUGGAUGAAAGCGGGGGACCGAAAGGCCUCGCGCGAUCGGAGCGGCCGAUGUCAGAUUAGGUAGUUGGUGGGGUAAAGGCUCACCAAGCCGACGAUCUGUAGAUGGUCUGAGAGGACGACCAGCCACACUGGGACUCGUACACGGACCAGAGUCCUACGGGAGGCAGCAGUGGUGGAUUUUGGAACAUGGGCGCAGGCCUGCUCCAGCAAUGCCGCGUGCAGGAAGAAGGCCUUCGGGUUGUAAACUGCUUUUGUACGUAACGAAAAGGUCUGGGUUAAUACCCUGGGCACAUGACGGUACCGUAAGAAUAAGCACCGGCUAACUACGUGCCAGCAGCCGCCGUAA